AUUGAACGCUGGCGGCAUGCCUUACACAUGCAAAUCGAACGGUAACGGGCCUUCGGGUGCCGACGAGUGGAGCACGGGUGAGUAAUACAUCGGAACGUGCCCGAUCGUGGGGGUUAACGAGGCGAAAGCUUUGCUAAUACCGCAUACGAUCUACGGAUGAAAGCAGGGGACCGCAAGGCCUUUCGGGGUCGGAGCGGCCGAUGGCCGAUUAGGUAGUUGGUGGGAUAAAAGCUUACCAAGCCGACGAUCUGUAGCUGGUCUGAGAGGAUGAUCGGCCACACUGGGACUGAGACACGGCCCAGACUCCUACGGGAGGCAGCAGUGGGGAAUGUUGGACAAUGGGCGCAAGCCUGAUCCAGCCAUGCCGCGUGCAGGAUGAAGGCCUUCGGGUUGUAAACUGAUUUUGUACGGAACGAAAAGCCUUCUUUUAAUACAGGAGGGUCAUGACGGUACCGUAAGAAUAAGCACCGGCUAACUACGUG
rnacentral:rRNA from 1 species